GUAUGCCUACGGGAGGCAGCAGUGAGGAAUAUUGGUCAAUGGGCGAGAGCCUGAACCAGCCAAGUCGCGUGAGGGAAGACGGUCCUAUGGAUUGUAAACCUCUUUUGUCGGGGAGCAAAAAGGCCUCGUGAGGCCACAAGUGAGAGUACCCGAAGAAAAAGCAUCGGCUAACUCCGUGCCAGCAGCCGCGGUAAUACGGAGGAUGCGAGAGUUAUUCGGAUUUAUUGGGUUUAAAGUGUG
rnacentral:rRNA from 1 species